rnacentral:rRNA from 1 species
GAUGAGAAAAUAAUUAUAAGAUAUUAAUUAUUUUAUAAAAUGUUUCUCGAUUAAUUUUUUUGAGGAUAAGCUCGAAAAAAAGUUAAGAAAUUUUACUAAUUUAGGUUAUCAUGUGGGCUUAAAAUUGGCUAUCAUAAGAGUNUGUUAUAAAACAAUAAUUUUAAUAUUUAAGAUAAAUAUAUUUUAUUCUAAUUUUUUACAGAAAUAAAGACCUCGAUUAAUAAAUGUUUUAUACCUAUGCUAGGAUGAGUAUUAAAACUUUUUAUAUUUUAAGAAAGUUUUAUAUAUUUUUCUUCUAAAAAAAUAUUGAUUAAAUUAAAUUAGUUAAAAGGAACUCGGCAAAAUUAAUGCUUUCGCCUGUUUAUCAAAAACAUGGCUCUCUGAAUUUAUUUUUAUAGGGAGUCAGGCCUGCCCAGUGAAUAAUAUUU